GACGAACGCUGGCGGCGUGCUUAACACAUGCAAGUCGAACGGAAAGGCCCUGCUUGCAGGGUACUCGAGUGGCGAACGGGUGAGUAACACGUGGGUGAUCUGCCCUGCACUUCGGGAUAAGCUUGGGAAACUGGGUCUAAUACCGGAUAGGAGCCAUCUUUAGUGUGGUGGUUAGAAAGUUUUUUCGGUGUAGGAUGAGCUCGCGGCCUAUCAGCUUGUUGGUGGGGUAAUGGCCUACCAAGGCGGCGACGGGUAGCCGGCCUGAGAGGGUGUACGGCCACAUUGGGACUGAGAGACGGCCCAGACUCCUACGGGAGGCAGCAGUGGGGAAUAUUGCACAAUGGGAGCAAGCCUGAUGCAGCGACGCCGCGUGGGGGAUGAAGGCCUUCGGGUUGUAAACUCCUUUCGCUAGGGACGAAGCUUUUUUGUGACGGUACCUAGAUAAGAAGCACCGGCUAACUACGUG
rnacentral:rRNA from 1 species